UUUCCGUAGGUGAACCUGCGGAAGGAUCAUUAUUGAAUAACCGAGGUGCGAGUUCUGUCUCUGACCCGGGAGGUCGUGCACCCCCGAGCGUCUUCACACACAUACAUCUCCCCCCUCUGUGCACCACCGCACGUCUCCCCCCCUUUCUCGUUCGGUGGAGGCCGUUCGUGUUCUCGCACGCUUGGUAUCCAGUGUAGCUUGUAUUUUUUGUUUUUUCGUACACGCACCCAAAACAACUUUCAACAACGGAUCUCUUGGCUCUCCAAUCCCUGAAGAACC
rnacentral:misc_RNA from 1 species